rnacentral:sRNA from 1 species
GCACAUGGAAGUGCCUCGGACCUGGAGUACUGGAUAGGGAGCAGGACUGGAGGUUGGACGAUGAAGGGCUCGGUUUGGGACACACGGAGUGUGAGGCUUCUUUGGGUCACCACAGCGGAAGUAUUCUCCUGGAAAAUAUUCAGAGGGCAGUGGAAUGAAGCUUGGGGCCCGGGAGUCAGGCAUCGGCUCCCAGACACCAGCUGAAGCCAAGGUGACAGUGAGAGCGUCACCUUCCCUGGGGAGUAAGUACAGCAUCCACGUCUGGACACACGGGUCUUUAGAUCGCAGAGUGAGCCACACAUUCUCUGCUGCCUGGACAGGCCCUCCCAGGCUGUCAAGGCCAUUGGCCCUGGCCAGGUACCCCUGCAGGGCUACAGACCGCUCUGGAGUGUUAGAUGAGCUAUUGGGAAGAAAUGGCAAAAGAGAUGUGAAGGGGAAACAGAUGAAGAAGAGCAAAGUGCCAAGAAUAAGAUCUCUAAGUUGGUGGAGGAGGUGAAGUAUUUCUCAAAAUUCCACACACCCCUUGUGAAGUUGCCAUAGAGCCACUUCCCUCUGCUUUUACAAAGGCUGUGAGUCUCUAUGGCAAUUCCUUUACUUCAUCCUUCAUUCCUUUCUUGCGUGAGUAGUGAACCGUUGAAGACCCAGCUGUACCCAUUGUGAACCACAGAGACAGAAUGCCCAUAUCACAAGCCUCUGGGUUUCGAGUCAGGGGAGGUCACACCGGACCAGAUCACCUGCUCUAACCCGGAGCAGUAUGUGGGCUGGUAUUCCUCGUGGACUGCAAACAAGGCCCGGCUCAACAGUCAAGGCUUUGGGUGCGCCUGGCUCUCCAAGUUCCAGGACAGUAGCCAGUGGUUACAGAUAGAUCUGAAGGAGAUCAAAGUGAUUUCAGGGAUCCUCACCCAGGGGCGCUGUGACAUCGAUGAGUGGAUGACCAAGUACAGCGUGCAGUACAGGACCGAUGAGCGCCUGAACUGGAUUUACUACAAGGACCAGACUGGAAACAACCGGGUCUUCUAUGGCAACUCGGACCGCACCUCCACGGUUCAGAACCUGCUGCGGCCCCCCAUCAUCUCCCGCUUCAUCCGCCUCAUCCCGCUGGGCUGGCACGUCCGCAUUGCCAUCCGGAUGGAGCUGCUGGAGUGCGUCAGCAAGUGUGCCUGAUGCCUGCCUCAGCUCGGCGCCUGCCAGGGGGUGACUGGCACAGAGCGGGCCGUAGGGGACCCCCUCACACACCACCGAGA